rnacentral:rRNA from 1 species
CGCGUAGGCGGCUUGUUAAGCGAGAUGUGAAAUCCGGGGGCUUAACCCGCGGCUUGCAUCUCGAACUGGCAGGCUUGAGUCUGGUAGAGGAAAGUGGAAUUCCCAGUGUAGCGGUGAAAUGCGCAGAUAUUGGGAGGAACACCAGUGGCGAAGGCGGCUUUCUGGGCCACGACUGACGCUGAGGCGCGAAAGCUAGGGGAGCGAACA